AAGGUAAGUUCAUUGCUUGCUUCUUGAUGAAUCUUUACUCACUUCAUUUUUUUUCUAUUUACAGCAAUUUUCAUCGAUUUUGGGCAAUUUAUUACUGGACGAUCAUUGAAAGGCGACAUCGACUCUGCAAUUAAAG
rnacentral:ribozyme from 1 species